rnacentral:rRNA from 1 species
UACGUAGGGGGCAAGCGUUGUCCGGAUUUAUUGGGCGUAAAGAGCGUGUAGGCGGCCACGCAGGUCCGUUGUGAAAACUGGAGGCUCAACCUUCAGACGUCGACGGAAACCGUGUGGCUAGAGUCCGGAAGAGGAGAGUGGAAUUCCUGGUGUAGCGGUGAAAUGCGCAGAUAUCAGGAAGAACACCAAUGGCGAAGGCAGCUCUCUGGGACGGUACUGACGCUGAGACGCGAAAGCGUGGGGAGCGAACAGG